AACGAACGCUGGCGGCAGGCUUAACACAUGCAAGUCGAACGCCCCGCAAGGGGAGCGGCAGACGGGUGAGUAACGCGUGGGAAUCUACCGUGCCCUACGGAAUAGCUCCGGGAAACUGGAAUUAAUACCGUAUAAGCCCUACGGGGGAAAGAUUUAUCGGGGUAUGAUGAGCCCGCGUUGGAUUAGCUAGUUGGUGGGGUAAAGGCCUACCAAGGCGACGAUCCAUAGCUGGUCUGAGAGGAUGAUCAGCCACAUUGGGACUGAGACACGGCCCAAACUCCUACGGGAGGCAGCAGUGGGGAAUAUUGGACAAUGGGCGCAAGCCUGAUCCAGCCAUGCCGCGUGAGUGAUGAAGGUCUUAGGAUUGUAAAGCUCUUUCACCGGUGAAGAUAAUGACGGUAACCGGAGAAGAAGCCCCGGCUAACUUCGUGCCAGCCGCCGCGGUAAUAC
rnacentral:rRNA from 1 species